GACAACGGCUCUGACCGUCUGGCAGGCCGCGUGGCGCCCGCGCCGGCCUUCCUGCAGGGGACUCCACCGGAGCCUUGCCAAUUCCGUUUGUUUCCCUGUUGUCGCCCGCUUCACCCUGGAUCAUGUUCAAGAAGUUUGAUGAAAAGGAAAGUGUGUCCAACUGCAUCCAGUUGAAAACGUCAGUUAUUAAGGGCAUUAAGAGCCAACUGGUAGAGCAAUUUCCAGGUAUUGAACCAUGGCUUAAUCAAAUCAUGCCUAAGAAAGAUCCUGUCAAAAUAGUCCGAUGCCACGAACAUACAGAAAUCCUUACCGUAAGUGGGGAAUUAUUGUUUUUUAGACAAAGAAAGGGGCCUUUUUGUCCAACUCUAAGGUUGCUUCACAAAUACCCUUUUAUCCUGCCACACCAGCAGGUUGAUAAAGGAGCUAUCAAAUUUGUACUCAGUGGCGCAAAUAUUAUGUGUCCAGGUUUAACUUCUCCUGGAGCUAAGCUGUACCCUGCUGCAGUAGAUACGAUUGUAGCAGUCACAGCGGAAGGAAAACAGCAUGCUCUGUGUGUUGGGGUCAUGAAGAUGUCUGCAGAAGAUAUUGAGAAAGUCAACAAAGGAAUUGGCAUUGAAAAUAUCCAUUAUUUAAAUGAUGGGCUGUGGCACAUGAAGACAUAUAAAUGAGCCUCAGAAGGAAUGCAUUUGGGGGGCUAAAUGUGGAUAUUGAUUGUGUCGUAUGUGUGUUUGUGUCUGUGUGUGACAGCGUGAAUACAAUGCCUCUGUGGUUAUGCUAAAUAAGUUUAACAGAUACUUUAUAGAAAACAAAUCAGGGUGCUCUUACCACAGAUGAA
rnacentral:lncRNA from 1 species